GAUUAGAUACCCUGGUAGUCCACGCCCUAAACGAUGUCAACUAGUUGUCGGGCCUAAUUGAGGGUUUGGUAACGUAGCUAACGCGUGAAGUUGACCGCCUGGGGAGUACGAUCGCAAGAUUAAAACUCAAAGGAAUUGACGGGGACCCGCACAAGCGGUGGAUUAUGUGGAUUAAUUCGAUGCAACGCGAAAAACCUUACCUACCCUUGACAUGCUUGGAAUUUUACGGAGACAUAAAAGUGCCCGAAAGGGAACCAAGACACAGGUGCUGCAUGGCUGUCGUCAGCUCGUGUCGUGAGAUGUUGGGUUAAGUCCCGCAACGAGCGCAACCCUUAUCAUUAAUUGCUAUCAUUUAUUUGAGCACUUUAAUGAGACUGCCGGUGACAAACCGGAGGAAGGUGGGGAUGACGUCAAGUCCUCAUGGCCCUUAUGGGUAGGGCUUCACACGUAAUACAAUGGAGUGUACAGAGGGUAGCCAACCCGCGAGGGGGAGCCAAUCUCACAAAGCACUUCGUAGUCCGGAUCGGAGUCUGCAACUCGACUCCGUGAAGUCGGAAUCGCUAGUAAUCGCGGAUCAGCAUGUCGCGGUGAAUACGUUCCCGGGUCUUGUACACACCGCCCGUCACACCAUGGGAGUGGUUUUCACCAGAAGCUGGUAGCUUAACCGUAAGGAGGGCGCCUGCCACGGUGAGAGUCAUGACUGGGGUG
rnacentral:rRNA from 1 species